rnacentral:rRNA from 1 species
GAUGAACGCUGGCGGCGUGCCUAAUACAUGCAAGUCGAGCGAAUGGAUUAAGAGCUUGCUCUUAUGAAGUUAGCGGCGGACGGGUGAGUAACACGUGGGUAACCCGCCCAUAAGACUGGGAUAACUCCGGGAAACCGGGGCUAAUACCGGAUAACAUUUUGAACCGCAUGGUUCGAAAUUGAAAGGCGGCUUCGGCUGUCACUUAUGGAUGGACCCGCGUCGCAUUAGCUAGUUGGUGAGGUAACGGCUCACCAAGGCAACGAUGUGUAGCCGACCUGAGGUGGUGAUCGGCAACGCUGGGACUGAGACACGGCCCAGACUCAUACGGGAGGCAGCAGUAGGGACUCUUCCGCAAUGGACGAAAGUCUGACGGAGCGACGCGGCGUGAGUGAUGAAGGCUUUCGGGUCGUAAAACUCCGUUGUUAGGGAAGAACAAGUGCUAGUUGAAUAAGCUGGCACCUUGACGGUACCUAACCAGAAAGCCACGGCUAACUACGUGCCAGCCGCCGCCGUAA